UUCGCGUUAGACGGAAGCCCUUAACUUCAUCUCCACCGGUUCUUCCGUCCUCUUCUACAUGCAGCAUGGCAGCAGGAAAGAACUCACGAUGCUCCUCUCAGAGGUUUCUUCAAAUGUUACCCAUUGGAAGCAAAAAGCUGUCCAGUUUUUCUGCAGCAAGCCUGACCGUAAGCUGUAUGGAUUCCAGCUGGGAAUGGUGCCUGGGUGACUUGCAUGAAGGCUAAGGAGCAGAAAAUGAAUCUGAUUUGAAGAUGGCUUCCACAGAAUAAACUUCAUAGCUAUCGGACAAAGAUCUGAGGUUGCUGUGUUUCACACGCUCCUGAGAUGGAAGCUCUUGGUUAGCUAUGACCUCGCUGAGUUUGAGACCUGGGUUAUGCACGAGUCAACAAAUGGGAAAGUUACCACAUGAUUCUGCUGGUGAUGGACUUUUAUUUUAAUGGUUUAUGCACGAGUCAACAAAUGGGAAAGUUACCACAUGAUUCUGCUGACUGAAAGCUGGUGAUGGACUUUUAUUUGAAAGGUUUAUGCACGAGUCAACAAAUGGGAAAGUUACCACAUGAUUCUGCUGACUGAAAGCUGGUGAUGGACUUUUAUUUGAAAGGUUUAUGCUUACAGGUUUAUGCACGAGUCAACAAAUGGGAAAGUUACCACAUGAUUCUGCUGAUGACUGAAAGCUGGUGAUGGACUUUUAUUUGAAUGGUUCCUUUUUGUCUUCACUGGCCAGAAAACUGCUGCCCUCAAGCAAGAUGAAUGAUGAAACUACAACUCUUUGUUUAAUGAAGGACAAUAUAAUGGUGUCUGGUAACUGUUUUGACAAAUAAACUCUAUAAAAUAA